CCCGUCGCGUAGCUUGCCCGUGCUCAGGGAAGCGGACAAGGCUCACCGCAUACCUGCCGCGCGUUACAUGGAACCUAUACGCUGCGCACCCGCAGGUGACACGAACGCAUCAAUCGAAGGCAACACGCACGCACACAGAUGCUUGACCCACAAGCGGCUGACCUCGUCGAUGCUGUCGCGCGGCUGUGCGUGCUGCGCACGGAGGACUACACGCUCCUCCGAACCGUAUACAGGCGGGCACGGGAGCAUGCGCAUCUGCAACAACAGCAAGAAACAACACCGAAUCCGUUGCAAUCUACACCUGAAUCAGUAAGUGACGCCCCCGACGCAAAGGGGUGCGAGGGCGACGCCAGCGGAGCCGGCAACGAGGCGUACAUCCGUUACUUGACUGAGGAGGUGCGCGUGCGUGAGCAGCGCCGAGGGACCGAAGAGGGAGAGUGGCUUGGGGCAGUGCAACAGUGGGCAGCUCGCUUUCAGGCGAGGCAGGUGGUUGCUACUCAGGACAAGGCACGCAGCGCGGCCCCGGACGGGUCGGCCUCCCUGGCAGUGCCGGCCAUCCGGUGGUUUUGGGAACAGGGGAGAGAGGGUGCCUUCCAGCGCGUAUACGCAGCGGUGCUUCAGCAGGCCUACGAGCUUGACCGCACGGACUUGGUGAACACCCCCUUCGCGUAUAUAGACAAGUCCAAGUGCUUGUACGAUCACGCGGAGGCUGCGGCUGCGGCCGUCGCUUCCGCCGCCAUGCCCUCUUCUCAGGUUGAAUGCGUGCACGCGCUGUUUUUCCCGUCCUCACGAGGUGCUGAGCCAUCCACCUCGCCGUCACGCAUCUUGGCUGAGAUGCACCCGAUCGAAGCUGAUGACGCGUCUGCGGUGAACGAGGGGGGACGGUCUCGUCUGCAAGCGAGCCGCCACGUCUGGCUCGUGCUCUUCUUUUUGUGGUGUCACAUCGUGGCUGCUAGCAUGACUACUUCGGCAGGCGCUGCUGCAGCAGCGCGUGAGGUGGGAGCGGAGCCUCUGUUUUAUGAAUCUGCGCUCCUUGGCCCUGCCAGAGACUUCCUCACGAGCCAGUCGCAGCAGCUGCAGUCGCUGCUGACGAAGCUGGAAACGACGACGUAUGUGUAGUGCAACGCAUCGACCGUCUUCUUUUUCUCCAUGGGCCGCGUUGCACCCCCUCCUUUUGUCGACGGCUUUGUCUCUCCUACGCCGCGCUCUCCCCCUCUUCCGUACGCUGCGAGUGUUCAUCGGAAAGGCCAGAGGAGGGAGAUGGGCGAUGACGUCUGUGCAGGACCUCUUGCUUCCGGUGCUCUGCUGCUCGACGAGCCUAAACGCCGCCUUCCUGCUGCGAGGCGUACACCCACCCGCGCCCGCACUGAUACACGUGCUCUCUGAACACACAAGCAUAGAAAAAAAGGAGCGAUCAAGAAAUGCUGUAGGAGUUGCUCGUCGACUCAGAGAGGGAGGAGCAGAGAGGAAUGGGUGUAGGCCGGAGUGUUGCAGUGCCACUCUUCAGUUCCCUUGACCGCCUUCCACUCCUUCGAUCCAUUCACAGCCCGCGAUAUACUGUAAUGCACCUUGGCUGGGCUUGAGAUCGUCUGUUCUCCUUUUCCUUCGUCUUCCGCACCGGCGCCUGGCACGAGCUCCCAAGUCAUUUCUCCCCAUCGAGUGUCACUACGCAUCCUCUCAGCUUCUGUGCUCUUCGCUAUUUUCGAAUGUUUUGCACGUGCUGUCCUCCACCUCCCUCCCUCACUUCCUUCCUCCGCUGUAUGACGCGUCCCAAUUGCGGCCACGUGCCAACACAUACCCGCGCGCACCCAUGCCUCUCUUUGUCUCCGCCCUCCCCUGCAAACGCAG
rnacentral:misc_RNA from 1 species